UACGUAGGGUGCGAGCGUUGUCCGGAAUUAUUGGGCGUAAAGGGCUCGUAGGCGGUUUGUCGCGUCGGGAGUGAAAUCCACUGGCUUAACUGGUGGCUUGCUUUCGAUACGGGCAGACUGGAGGUAUGCAGGGGAGAACGGAAUUCCUGGUGUAGCGGUGAAAUGCGCAGAUAUCAGGAGGAACACCGGUGGCGAAGGCGGUUCUCUGGGCAUGUCCUGACGCUGAGGCGCGAAAGCUAGGGGAGCGAACAGG
rnacentral:rRNA from 1 species